CACGUAGGGUGCGAGCGUUUGUCCGGAAUUAUUGGGCGUAAAGGGCUCGUAGGCGGUCUGUUGCGUCGGGAGUGAAAACUCAGGGCUUAACCCUGAGCCUGCUUCCGAUACGGGCAGACUAGAGGUAGGUAGGGGAGAAUGGAAUUCCCGGUGUAGCGGUGAAAUGCGCAGAUAUCGGGAGGAACACCGGUGGCGAAGGCGGUUCUCUGGGCCUUACCUGACGCUGAGGAGCGAAAGCGUGGGGAGCGAACAGG
rnacentral:rRNA from 1 species